CCUACGGGAGGCUGCAGUGGGGAAUCUUGGACAAUGGGCGCAAGCCUGAUCCAGCUAUUCCGCGUGUGGGAUGACGGCCCUCGGGUUGUAAACCACUUUAGUAGAGAACGAAAAGGAGCUAUCGAAUAAAUAGCUCUGCUGACGGUACUCUAAGAAUAAGCACCGGCUAACUACGUGCCAGCAGCCGCGGUAAUACGGAGGGUGCGAGCGUUAAUCGGAAUUACUGGGCGUAAAGGGUGUGCAGGCGGCUUGGUAAGACAGAUGUGAAAUCCCCGGGCUUAACCUGGGAACUGCAUACGUGACUGGUAGGCUAGAGUGUGUUAGAGGGAGGUAGAAUUCCAGGUGUAGCAGUGAAAUGCGUAGAGAUGUGGAAGAAUACCGAUGGCGAAGGCAGCCUCCUGGGA
rnacentral:rRNA from 1 species